AAACGGGUGGCGUCAAGCUGCAAGCCGAGGGAAUUCAGUCGAUUAGCGUGUAUAUGCGCCUGGCGCAUGGAACAGUCGGAGUGAGUCCGGGUAGUCCACCGGUAGAUGGUGGGUUCCGCCGCAAGGUGGGAUGCGUGUACCGGGUGUGUGCCGGAGCGUGCUACUCGUCUGCUGGACUGAGCUAGUCGGUGCACUUUCUCUCAAUGGCUGGCACCACGACCGGUGGUACUGCCAGUCUGCUGUGGUCAAGUCGUAUUCGGUGGCAUUCGUGUUUACUGGGUGCGAUGACGGGCAAAUUCGGUAGACGGCGUCGGUAUUGGUCUCGGCCUGUGCUGGCGUGUUAUCGGCUAUUGGUUGUCUUAACGGGCUACCCGGUGGUGUUGAAGCCGCCGCAUUUGGGUGGUCUGGUCGGCCAUGGUGGUAUGAAUAACUGUGCAGGGCACCGGAGUAUUCGGCCUCAAUUGUGGUUGGCAUGCACGCUUCAAGUGUGCAUAUGUAAGUGGCGGCGCAGCCUGCCUGUGUUGAGCGUGAUCGUCGUGUUGCCUGCGCAAAGUGGGCCCGGCGGUGGCUUGAUGCGGGUCGGUGUUGUGUGCGUGGCUUGCAGUGUUGAUCAUGGUGGGCCUUAUAGUCUGUGGUGUAGUGGUAGACGAGCUACCCGACCCGUCUUGAAACACGGACCAAGGAGUUUAACGUGUGUGCAAGUCAAUGGGUCCUACGAAACCCAAAGGCGAAGUGAAAGUAAAGCCUCGGCUUGUUCGGGGUGAGGUGAGAUCCUGCUGUUACUCGCAUCCGCGCCUAGCACCAGGCACAAAGAGCAGUGGGCGCAUCACCGGCCCGUCCCAUGAUGUGGCCAUUGGAAUAGGGCUGUUGUUGGCUUUCGGGUUGGCGGCAGUUCCUCCAGUGCGUCAUCGGGGCGGAGCAUGAGCACACAUGUUGAGACCCGAAAGAUGGUGAACUAUGCUUGCGUAGG
rnacentral:rRNA from 1 species